CAACCUGCCUUGUAGAGGGGAAUAGCCUUCCGAAAGGAAGAUUAAUACCGCAUAACAUUACAUUUUCGCAUGAAGAAGUAAUUAAAGGAGCAAUCCGCUACAAGAUGGGCCCGCGGCGCAUUAGCUAGUUGGUGAGGUAACGGCUCACCAAGGCGACGAUGCGUAGCCGACCUGAGAGGGUGAUCGGCCACAUUGGGACUGAGACACGGCCCAGACUCCUACGGGAGGCAGCAUG
rnacentral:rRNA from 1 species